rnacentral:rRNA from 1 species
GCCUUGCUGAAUUAUUCACCCGUGUCUUUUGCGUACUUCUUGUUUCCUUGGUGGGUUCGCCCACCAUAGGACAAACCAUAAACCUUUUGUAAUUGCAAUCAGCGUCAGUAAAAAAAAUUAAUAAUUACAACUUUUAACAACGGAUCUCUUGGUUCUGGCAUCGAUGAAGAACGCAGCGAAAUGCGAUAAGUAGUGUGAAUUGCAGAAUUCAGUGAAUCAUCGAAUCUUUGAACGCACAUUGCGCCCUUUGGUAUUCCAAAGGGCAUGCCUGUUCGAGCGUCAUUUGUACCCUCAAGCUUUGCUUGGUGUUGGGCGUCUUGUCUCCAGUUCGCUGGAGACUCGCCUUAAAGUAAUUGGCAGCCGGCCUACUGGUUUCGGAGCGCAGCACAAGUCGCGCUCUCUUCCAGCCAAGGUCAGCAUCCACAAAGCCUUUUUUCAACUUUUGACCUCGGAUCAGGUAGGGAUACCCGCUGAACUUAAGCAUAUCAAUA